GUCUCUUCGGAGACAUCCGAUAAAAUUGGAACGAUACAGAGAAGAUUAGCAUGGCCCCUGGAGCUUAUACUUAUUAUCGCAGUUAUGCCCUCGGUUCUU
rnacentral:snRNA from 1 species